rnacentral:rRNA from 1 species
ACUGAGACACGGCCCAGACUCCUACGGGAGGCAGCAGUGGGGAAUAUUGCACAAUGGAGGAAACUCUGAUGCAGCGAUGCCGCGUGAGGGAAGAAGGUUUUAGGAUUGUAAACCUCUGUCUUCGGGGACGAAAAAAGACGGUACCUGAGGAGGAAGCUCCGGCUAACUACGUGCCAGCAGCCGCGGUAAUACGUAGGGAGCGAGCGUUGUCCGGAAUUACUGGGUGUAAAGGGAGCGUAGGCGGGAUCGCAAGUCAGAUGUGAAAACUAUGGGCUUAACCCAUAAACUGCAUUUGAAACUGUGGUUCUUGAGUGAAGUAGAGGUAAGCGGAAUUCCUAGUGUAGCGGUGAAAUGCGUAGAUAUUAGGAGGAACAUCAGUGGCGAAGGCGGCUUACUGGGCUUUAACUGACGCUGAGGCUCGAAAGCGUGGGGAGCAAACAGGAUUAGAUACCCUGGUAGUCCACGCCGUAAACGAUGAUUACUAGGUGUGGGGGGACUGACCCCUUCCGUGCCGCAGCAAACGCAAUAAGUAAUCCACCUGGGGAGUACGACCGCAAGGUUGAAACUCAAAGGAAUUGACGGGGGCCCGCACAAGCAGUGGAGUAUGUGGAUUAAUUCGAAGCAACGCGAAGAACCUUACCAGGUCUUGACAUCGUAUGCAUAGCUCAGAGAUGAGUGAAAUCUCUUCGGAGACAUAUAGACAGGUGGUGCAUGGUUGUCGUCAGCUCGUGUCGUGAGAUGUUGGGUUAAGUCCCGCAACGAGCGCAACCCUUACUGUUAGUUGCUACGCAAGAGCACUCUAGCAGGACUGCCGUUGACAAAACGGAGGAAGGUGGGGAUGACGUCAAAUCAUCAUGCCCCUUAUGACCUGGGCCUCACACGUACUACAAUGGCUGUAAACAGAGGGAUGCAAAGCCGCGAGGUGGAGCGAACCCCUAAAAGCAGUCUUAGUUCGGAUUGUAGGCUGCAACCCGCCUACAUGAAGUCGGAAUUGCUAGUAAUCGCAGAUCAGCAUGCUGCGGUGAAUACGUUCCCGGGCCUUGUACACACCGCCCGUCACGCCAUGGGAGUCGGUAACACCCGAAGCCUGUAGUCUAACCGCAAGGAGGACGCAGUCGAAGGUGGGAUUGAUGACUGGGGUGAAGUCGUAACAAGGUAGCCGUAUCGGAAGGUGCGGCUG